ACAAAUUUUUCCUAAAACUCCAUCUACUUGGCAACUAUUUUUAAAACUUACAUCUUUGGCUCUAAGCGGUGUAAAAUGGAAAAAUCGAAUACUUAUCGUGUUCUUCUCUUAUAAUCUUCAAAUACGUUCAUUUGUUCGUCACACGAAUCUCACGGUUCUAUUCCAUCAACGUCUCAUACAAGGACAGCGGAAAAGUGAGUAAAUUCAUCCGACAUAAAAAUCCUUGAACGGAAGAAAAAAGGAACAGAGAACAAGGAUAAAGAAGAAUGUUAGCCAAGACGUUGGAAAUUCUAUGGAGCUGAUGUCAAUGCUACGAUUGCAGUAACAUGUUAGCUACGUAGCCAACAUGUACGAACGGGAAUCGAUGAAUACAAUUCAGGUCAUUGGCAAUACCACGUUAAAGCGCCUGUCGGGCAGGUAACUGCGGACUUUCGAUCGAGGAGAAAGCCACAAAAUUCUCAGGUAUUUCUUCGAACUUACGUGUAUCGAUACUCCGUGAGAUUUUUAAUCUUACGAGCUCGUUAACCAGUUUGUCGGUGACUCACGACACUGUUUUCAGUGACGCAAUAAUUACGGUACUAUUUUAUCAAUUGAAGGAUUUGUUACAUUCUUGAUUUUUAUCCGGAUCUUUGAACAAUGUUGCGAAUUACAUCGUCUAUAGAUGUGAAAAAGUUAAUUAAAAGGCAUCGUUAACGGCAGUGCUUUGAGUUAGCGAGUUCGCGCAGCUUUUAUCGUCACUACACCGUCGACGUUCACUGUACAGAGUAUCGUGUACUCUGGCCAAUCAUUUACGCCACUUUACAGCUUAAGCUUGAAUCAGCAGCCAGCAACGGCAGACAGCAAUGACACGAUGCCAUCUAAAUUAAUCCUUCUUGCGUAUAAUUAAUGUGGAACACUUAUACUCUCGAGUAUAACACGAGGUCGAGUACCAAUAAAAUUGAAGGCGCAAAUAAGGCAAUGGAACGAUACGUCACGAAUCGUUUGCAUCUUUUUCUUAUAAACGGAUACUUUUCAUCGACGCAUGUUCGACCGCAGCUGCGUUUAUGCGAGUUGCUGAUUACAUAGAUGCAGAUUAACAAAACGUCAAAGGCCGAGCAUGCAAUAUGCACGUGGAUAAGCAGGUCUUUGUAACGAGACGUCUUAAGAAAGAUAGAUCGCGUCCAAAGCUCCAUUUAAGAAUCCACGAUGCGAAGACCUAGUUGAAUUGGCUUGACCGAUAAACUAGCUUCUAUUCAUUGCAUGAUCUCAAAAAUUUGAUCUUAGUACGCGGCUAUACAAUUAAAUCGAAUAAUUAAGCUGAUUUCAAAAUUUUAAGUUGAUAUCACACGCGUAUCGCAAAAUUACGUGUAGACUCGAAUCUGAGACAUACAGAAAAAUAUGUUAAUGAUUGUAAAUUAAACAAUUAAAUUAUUACGUAUAGAUAAAACGAAUGAGAUAUCAAAGCGCCACCUUGCUUCCUCUAAGGUAACGAAAUUGGGCGGUUGCAAGGAAAAUUUAUGCCUAUUAUCCAAGAUCUUGAUGAACUAUUUAGGUAUGAUGAUUAACGACGAGUAAUCGUGUGAUAUCGGCUCGUAAAGAGAAAUCGAAGAAGGGAGGAGGUUUUUUUCCAUGCCGAGAGGCAUUUGCCUUGAUAUCAAAAUUGGUUUCAAUACCUUCAAUGCCACCCGGACAAGGCUUGCCAAUGGAGCAAAGUGACGGGCAAUUUACUGCCACUUUUCACUUUCGAGAAAUGACGCCGAGUAAACGAAUCACUUCACUCUGUUGAUUCAUGCUUAAUGACUUUCAAACUUAAUAUGCAAUUCUCUAUUGAACAUUACCGUUAAGUGCCAUAUAAUAUGUAGACCUGAUAAAAGCACUAUUAAAAAGAACCAAUUUCACUCUUAAA